rnacentral:rRNA from 1 species
GACGAACGCUGGCGGCGUGCUUAACACAUGCUAGUCGAACGGUAAGGCCCUUCGGGGUACACGAGUGGCGAACGGGUGAGUAACACGUGGGUGAUCUGCCCUGCACUUCGGGAUAAGCCUGGGAAACUGGGUCUAAUACCGGAGAGGACCACUGCCUGCAUGGGUGGUGGUGGAAAGCUUUUGCGGUGUGGGAUGGGCCCGCGGCCUAUCAGCUUGUUGGUGGGGUGAUGGCCUACCAAGGCGACGACGGGUAGCCGGCCUGAGAGGGUGACCGGCCACACUGGGACUGAGAUACGGCCCAGACUCCUACGGGAGGCAGCAGUGGGGAAUAUUGCACAAUGGGCGCAAGCCUGAUGCAGCGACGCCGCGUGAGGGAUGACGGCCUUCGGGUUGUAAACCUCUUUCAGCACCGACGAAGCGCAAGUGACGGUAGGUGCAGAAGAAGGACCGGCCAACUACGUGCCAGCAGCCGCGGUAACAC